rnacentral:tRNA from 3 species
GCCUCCUUAGCUCAGCUGGCCAGAGCGCCGCUCUUGUAAAGCGGGGGUCGUCGGUUCGAACCCGACAGGGGGCU